rnacentral:rRNA from 1 species
UGGGGAAUAUUGCACAAUGGGCGCAAGCCUGAUGCAGCCAUGCCGCGUGUAUGAAGAAGGCCUUCGGGUUGUAAAGUACUUUCAGCGGGGAGGAAGGGAGUAAAGUUAAUACCUUUGCUCAUUGACGUUACCCGCAGAAGAAGCACCGGCUAACUCCGUGCCAGCAGCCGCGGUAAUACGGAGGGUGCAAGCGUUAAUCGGAAUUACUGGGCGUAAAGCGCACGCAGGCGGUUUGUUAAGUCGGAUGUGAAAUCCCCGGGCUCAACCUGGGAACUGCAUCUGAUACUGGCAAGCUUGAGUCUCGUAGAGGGUGGUAGAAUUCCAGGUGUAGCGGUGAAAUGCGUAGAGAUCUGGAGGAAUACCGGUGGCGAAGGCGGCCCCCUGGACGAAGACUGACGCUCAGGUGCGAAAGCGUGGGGAGCAAACA